UACAGAGACUGCGAGCGUUAUUCGGAUUCACUGGGCGUAAAGGGUGCGCAGGCGGCCGGGUGUGUCAGAUGUGAAAUCCCGAGGCUUAACCUCGGAACUGCGUCUGAAACUACUCGGCUAGAGUAUUGGAGAGGGUAACGGAAUUCACGGUGUAGCAGUGAAAUGCGUAGAUAUCGUGAGGAACACCAGAGGCGAAGGCGGUUACCUGGACAAUUACUGACGCUCAGGCACGAAAGCAUGGGGAGCAAAAGGG
rnacentral:rRNA from 1 species